rnacentral:rRNA from 1 species
UCCUGGCUCAGAUUGAACGCUGGCGGCAUGCCUUACACAUGCAAGUCGAACGGCAGCACGGGGGCAACCCUGGUGGCGAGUGGCGAACGGGUGAGUAAUACAUCGGAACGUGUCCUGUAGUGGGGGAUAGCCCGGCGAAAGCCGGAUUAAUACCGCAUACGCUCUACGGAGGAAAGGGGGGGAUCUUAGGACCUCCCGCUACAGGGGCGGCCGAUGGCAGAUUAGCUAGUUGGUGGGGUAAAGGCCUACCAAGGCGACGAUCUGUAGCUGGUCUGAGAGGACGACCAGCCACACUGGGACUGAGACACGGCCCAGACUCCUACGGGAGGCAGCAGUGGGGAAUUUUGGACAAUGGGGGCAACCCUGAUCCAGCAAUGCCGCGUGUGUGAAGAAGGCCUUCGGGUUGUAAAGCACUUUUGUCCGGAAAGAAAUCCCUUGCCCUAAUACGGCGGGGGGAUGACGGUACCGGAAGAAUAAGCACCGGCUAACUACGUGCCAGCAGCCGCGGUAAUACGUAGGGUGCAAGCGUUAAUCGGAAUUACUGGGCGUAAAGCGUGCGCAGGCGGUCCGCUAAGACAGAUGUGAAAUCCCCGGGCUUAACCUGGGAACUGCAUUUGUGACUGGCGGGGCUAGAGUAUGGCAGAAGGGGGUAGAAUUCCACGUGUAGCAGUGAAAAUGCGUAGAGAUGUGGAGGAAUACCGAUGGCGAAGGCAGCCCCCUGGGCCAAUACUGACGCUCAUGCACGAAAGCGUGGGGAGCAAACAGGAUUAGAUACCCUGGUAGUCCACGCCCUAAACGAUGUCAACUAGUUGUCGGGUCUUCAUUGACUUGGUAAGAUUCAUUUCUUCAGUAACGUAGCUAACGCGUGAAGUUGACCGCCUGGGGAGUACGGUCGCAAGAUUAAAACUCAAAGGAAUUGACGGGGACCCGCACAAGCGGUGGAUGAUGUGGAUUAAUUCGAUGCAACGCGAAAAACCUUACCUACCCUUGACAUGCCACUAACGA